AUUGAACGCUGGCGGCAUGCCUAACACAUGCAAGUCGAACGAGUGGCGGACGGGUGAGUAAUGUCUGGGAAACUGCCCGAUAGAGGGGGAUAACUACUGGAAACGGUAGCUAAUACCGCAUACUAUAGGAUCUGCCCAGAUGGGAUUAGCUAGUUGGUGGGGUAACGGCUCACAAAGGCGACGAUCCCUAGCUGGUCUGAGAGGACGACCAGCCACACUGGAACUGAGAAACGGUCCGUACUCCUACGGGAGGCAGCAGUGGGGAAUAUUGCGCAAUGGGCGCAAGCCUGAUGCAGCCAUGCCGGGUGUAUGAAGAAGGUCUUCGGGUUGUAAAGUACUUUCAGCAGGGAGGCGGUAUCUGCAGAAGAAGCACCGGCUAACUCCGUGCCAGCAGCCGCGGUAAUAC
rnacentral:rRNA from 1 species